rnacentral:tRNA from 1 species
GCGGUAGUGGUGGAAUGGCAUACACGUCAGUCUAAGAAGCUGAUGAGCGAAAGCUCUUGGAGGUUCGAGUCCUCUCUACCGCA